rnacentral:rRNA from 1 species
UACGGAGGGUGCAAGCGUUAAUCGGAAUUACUGGGCGUAAAGCGUGCGCAGGCGGUUUGUUAAGUCCGUUGUGAAAGCCCCGAGCUCAACUUGGGAAUUGCAGUGGAUACUGGCAGGCUGGAGUACGGUAGAGGAAGGUGGAAUUCCCGGUGUAGCGGUGAAAUGCGCAGAUAUCGGGAGGAACACCGGUGGCGAAGGCGGUUCUCUGGGCCUGUUCUGACGCUGAGGAGCGAAAGCGUGGGGAGCGAACAGG